CCUACGGGAGGCAGCAGUGGGGAAGUAUUGGACAAUGGGCGAAAGCCUGAUCCAGCAAUUCCGCGUGUGUGAAGAAGGCCUUCGGGUUGUAAAGCACUUUAGUGGGGGAAGAAACAGCUUGGCCACACCAAGCCUUGACGGUACCCCAAGAAUAAGCACCGGCUAACUCUGUGCCAGCAGCCGCGGUAAUACAGAGGGUGCAAGCGUUAAUCGGAUUUACUGGGCGUAAAGGGUGCGUAGGUGGCUAUUUAAGUCGGAUGUGAAAGCCCGGGGCUCAACCUCGGAAUUGCAUUCGAUACUGAGUGGCUAGAGUUCGGUAGAGGGCGGCGGAAUUUCCGGUGUAGCGGUGAAAUGCGUAGAUAUCGGAAGGAACAUCAAUGGCGAAGGCAGCCGCCUGGGCCUGGACUGACACUGAGGCACGAAAGCGUGGGUAGGCAAACAGGAUUAGAUACCCUGGUAGUCCACGCCGUAAACGAUGAGAACUUGACGUUGGUUCGUUUUACGAAUCGGUGUCGCAGCUAACGCGAUAAGUUCUCCGCCUGGGGAGUACGGCCGCAAGGUUGAAACUUAAAUGAAUUGACGG
rnacentral:rRNA from 1 species